AUUGAACGCUGGCGGAAUGCUUUACACAUGCAAGUCGAACGGCAGCACGGACUUCGGUCUGGUGGCGAGUGGCGAACGGGUGAGUAAUACAUCGGAACGUGCCCAAUCGUGGGGGAUAACGUAGCGAAAGCUACGCUAAUACCGCAUACGAACUAAGGAUGAAAGCGGGGGAUCGCAAGACCUCGCGCGAUCGGAGCGGCCGAUGGCAGAUUAGGUAGUUGGUAGGGUAAAGGCCUACCAAGCCGACGAUCUGUAGCUGGUCUGAGAGGUUGAUCAGCCACACUGGGACUGAGACCCGGCCCAGACUCCUACGGGAGGCAGCAGUGGGGAAUUUUGGACAAUGGACGCAAGUCUGAUCCAGCCAUUCCGCGUGCAGGAUGAAGGCCCUCGGGUUGUAAACUGCUUUUGUACAGAACGAAAAGGCUCUGGUUAAUACCUAGGGCUCAUGACGGUACUGUAAGAAUAAGCACCGGCUAACUACGUGCCAGCAGCCGCAGUAA
rnacentral:rRNA from 1 species